rnacentral:rRNA from 1 species
UACGUAGGGGGCAAGCGUUGUCCGGAAUCAUUGGGCGUAAAGCGCGUGUAGGCGGUUCGGUAAGUCGGCUGUGAAAGUCCAGGGCUCAACCCUGGGAUGCCGGUCGAUACUGCCGGACUAGAGUUCGGAAGAGGCGAGUGGAAUUCCCGGUGUAGCGGUGAAAUGCGUAGAUAUCAAGAGGAACACCUGAGGUGAAGACGGGUUGCUGGGCUGACACUGACGCUGAGGCGCGAAAGCCAGGGGAGCAAACGGG